rnacentral:rRNA from 1 species
GAUGAACGCUAGCGGCAGGCCUAACACAUGCAAGUCGAGGGGCAGCACGUUAAGUUAGCAAUAACUUAUGGUGGCGACCGGCGGACGGGUGCGUAACGCGUAUGUAACCUACCUUUGAUUGGGGGAUAAUUCGGAGAAAUCUGGUCUAAUACCCCAUAACAUCCCGGGGGGCAUCUCCUGGGGUUAAAAAUUCAGGUGAUUAGAGAUGGACAUGCGUAACAUUAGUUAGUUGGUGAGGUAACGGCUCACCAAGACUACGAUGUUUAGGGGGACUGAGAGGUUAACCCCCCACACUGGAACUGAGACACGGUCCAGACUCCUACGGGAGGCAGCAGUGAGGAAUAUUGGUCAAUGGGGGCAACCCUGAACCAGCCAUGCCGCGUGCAGGAAGACGGCUCUAUGAGUUGUAAACUGCUUUUGUACGAGGGUAAAGUGGGGUACGUGUACCCUUUUGAAAGUAUCGUACGAAUAAGGAUCGGCUAACUCCGUGCCAGCAGCCGCAGUAA